rnacentral:tRNA from 1 species
UAGUAUAGUGGCAGUACAUCACGUUGUGGCCGUGAUGACCCUGGUUCGAUUCCAGG